rnacentral:lncRNA from 1 species
CAGAGAUAACAUCACCAGAAUCAUCAUCAUAAUCAGAGGAGUUGACGAAUUCCCAAUAAGAAAGAUGGUCUUCUUUUCCCAAGAGAAUCAUUUCUGGGUCAUUCUCCAUGGUUGAAAAGAAGUCAACCUCACAAUUGGUUUGCAUCUCUUUUUCACUGGUUUUUGUUAUUGAUAUUUGAUGGGAGGGAGGGAGGAAAGGAGAGAAGUCUGAAAAAGUUCUCUUAAAGCAAGCAAAUGCAGAGACGUUAGCGGAUCAUGUCUCUCACUUCGUCUUGGAUUGGACCACGUUUUCUCAACUAAUAACCAUCUACCACGUCCUUUAACCCUAUACCUACAUCCCACCUAUUCAUUUGUUUUUUCGGCCGGAACUAACAUCUACAAAAUAAUUCGAAUGUGAUUUGUAGAGGGAUGGUUCUUUCUUCAAUAUCAAAAUCAAAAAGGGUCUAAGUUUUAUUUAAAUUUCAGGAUUGGUCAGAGGCAAUUUUACAAUAAUCUACCUAUGCCACCAUGACUUGAUUCCUCUGUACUGAAGUUGGGUUUCAUCUAAUCUCAUAUUGGUUUUUAGAAGAACUUUUUAUAUAGAGUUUAUUAAUUAAUGUAUUUGAUUUAAUAGGUUUGAAGUGCGAAUGAUUGGAAGUUGAAGUGCUAGAACUCGAAUUAAGGAGAUUGUGAAAUGAAAACAUUUGAAUGACGGUAACCAAGACAAGUAUCACAACUUAAAAGCAACCAAUCAAACCAUUGCUGAUCCAUCAUAUUAUUCAUGGCCUACUCUUUAUGUGCAGAGAAAUACUCAAAUCAAUGGGAACCCAAAAAGGAAUCAGAGGAAAUGUAAAGCGAAUUACAUUGAAAUGAAAAGUCUCGCCUAUCAACCAUUGUCUGUUUUAACAAGGGCCCUCUCUCACUAUUCUUGCCCAUCAAAGAUUAACAAG